GAUGAACGCUGGCGGCGUGCCUAAUACAUGCAAGUCGAGCGAACAGACGAGGAGCUUGCUCCUCUGACGUUAGCGGCGGACGGGUGAGUAACACGUGGAUAACCUACCUAUAAGACUGGGAUAACUUCGGGAAACCGGAGCUAAUACCGGAUAACAUGUUGAACCGCAUGGUUCAACAGUGAAAGGCGGUCUUGCUGUCACUUAUAGAUGGAUCCGCGCCGCAUUAGCUAGUUGGUAAGGUAACGGCUUACCAAGGCAACGAUGCGUAGCCGACCUGAGAGGGUGAUCGGCCACACUGGAGCUGAGACACGGUCCAGACUCCUACGGGAGGCAGCAGUAGGGAAUCUUCCGCAAUGGGCGAAAGCCUGACGGAGCAACGCCGCGUGAGUGAUGAAGGUCUUCGGAUCGUAAAACUCUGUUAUUAGGGAAGAACAAAUGUGUAAGUAACUAUGCACGUCUUGACGGUACCUAAUCAGAAAGCCACGGCUAACUACGUG
rnacentral:rRNA from 1 species